rnacentral:rRNA from 1 species
ACCGUCGACAGUCAGGUAACGAGCGAGACCCCUGCGUCUAGUCGCUACCAUUACUCUCUGGAGCAGUGGAGCGAAUUAGACGGACCGCCACAGUUAAUGUGGAGGAAGGAAGGGGCCACGGCAGGUCAGUAUGCCCCGAAACCCUAGGGCUACACGCGGGCUGCAAUGGUAUUGACAAUGUGUUCCGAAUCCGAAAGGAGGAGGCAAUCAUCAAACAAUAUCUCAGUUAUGACUGAGGGCUGUAACUCGCCCUCACGAAUAUGGAAUCCCUAGUAACCGCGCGUCACUACCGCGCGGUGAAUACGUCCCUGCUCCUUGCACGAAUUCGCCG